CUCUGAUGUUAGCGGCGGACGGGUGAGUAACACGUGGGUAACCUACCUAUAAGACUGGGAUAACUCCGGGAAACCGGGGCUAAUACCGGAUAAUAUUUUGAACCGCAUGGUUCAAUAGUGAAAGACGGUUUCGGCUGUCACUUAUAGAUGGACCCGCGCCGUAUUAGCUAGUUGGUAAGGUAACGGCUUACCAAGGCGACGAUACGUAGCCGACCUGAGAGGGUGAUCGGCCACACUGGAACUGAGACACGGUCCAGACUCCUACGGGAGGCAGCAGUAGGGAAUCUUCCGCAAUGGGCGAAAGCCUGACGGAGCAACGCCGCGUGAGUGAUGAAGGUCUUCGGAUCGUAAAACUCUGUUGUUAGGGAAGAACAAAUUUGUUAGUAACUGAACAAGUCUUGACGGUACCUAACCAGAAAGCCACGGCUAACUACGUGCCAGCAGCCGCGGUAAUACGUAGGUGGCAAGCGUUAUCCGGAAUUAUUGGGCGUAAAGCGCGCGUAGGCGGUUUCUUAAGUCUGAUGUGAAAGCCCACGGCUCAACCGUGGAGGGUCAUUGGAAACUGGGAAACUUGAGUGCAGAAGAGGAGAGUGGAAUUCCAUGUGUAGCGGUGAAAUGCGCAGAGAUAUGGAGGAACACCAGUGGCGAAGGCGGCUCUCUGGUCUGUAACUGACGCUGAUGUGCGAAAGCGUGGGGAUCAAACAGGAUUAGAUACCCUGGUAGUCCACGCCGUAAACGAUGAGUGCUAAGUGUUAGGGGGUUUCCGCCCCUUAGUGCUGCAGCUAACGCAUUAAGCACUCCGCCUGGGGAGUACGACCGCAAGGUUGAAACUCAAAGGAAUUGACGGGGACCCGCACAAGCGGUGGAGCAUGUGGUUUAAUUCGAAGCAACGCGAAGAACCUUACCAAAUCUUGACAUCCUUUGACCGCUCUAGAGAUAGAGUCUUCCCCUUCGGGGGACAAAGUGACAGGUGGUGCAUGGUUGUCGUCAGCUCGUGUCGUGAGAUGUUGGGUUAAGUCCCGCAACGAGCGCAACCCUUAAGCUUAGUUGCCAUCAUUAAGUUGGGCACUCUAGGUUGACUGCCGGUGACAAACCGGAGGAAGGUGGGGAUGACGUCAAAUCAUCAUGCCCCUUAUGAUUUGGGCUACACACGUGCUACAAUGGAUAAUACAAAGGGCAGCGAAUCCGCGAGGCCAAGCAAAUCCCAUAAAAUUAUUCUCAGUUCGGAUUGUAGUCUGCAACUCGACUACAUGAAGCUGGAAUCGCUAGUAAUCGUAGAUCAGCAUGCUACGGUGAAUACGUUCCCGGGUCUUGUACACACCGCCCGUCACACCACGAGAGUUUGUAACACCCGAAGCCGGUGGAGUAACC
rnacentral:rRNA from 2 species